rnacentral:tRNA from 1 species
GCCGCGAUAGUUUAGCCUGGUAGAACAAGAGGCUGUGGCCCUCUUGGCCUGGGUCCGAAUCCCAGUCGCGGCC